rnacentral:rRNA from 1 species
AUUGAACGCUGGCGGCAGGCCUAACACAUGCAAGUCGAGCGGAUGAAGGGAGCUUGCUCCUGGAUUCAGCGGCGGACGGGUGAGUAAUGCCUAGGAAUCUGCCUGGUCGUGGGGGAUAACGUCCGGAAACGGGCGCUAAUACCGCAUACGUCCUGAGGGAGAAAGUGGGGGAUCUUCGGACCUCACGCUAUCAGAUGACCCUAGGUCGGAUUAGCUAGUUGGUGGGGUAAAGGCCUACCAAGGCGACGAUCCGUAACUGGUCUGAGAGGAUGAUCAGUCACACUGGAACUGAGACACGGUCCAGACUCCUACGGGAGGCAGCAGUGGGGAAUAUUGGACAAUGGGCGAAAGCCUGAUCCAGCCAUGCCGCGUGUGUGAAGAAGGUCUUCGGAUUGUAAAGCACUUUAAGUUGGGAGGAAGGGCAGUAAGUUAAUACCUUGCUGUUUUGACGUUACCAACAGAAUAAGCACCGGCUAACUUCGUG